rnacentral:rRNA from 1 species
CCUACGGGGAGCAGCAGUGGGGAAUAUUGGGCAAUGGGCGCAAGCCUGACCCAGCAACGCCGCGUGAAGGAAGAAGGCUUUCGGGUUGUAAACUUCUUUUCUCAGGGACGAAGAAAGUGACGGUACCUGAAGAAUAAGCCACGGCUAACUACGUGCCAGCAGCCGCGGUAAUCCGUAGGUGGCAAGCGUUAUCCGGAUUUAUUGGGUGUAAGGGGCGUGUAGGCGGGAGGGCAAGUCAGAUGUGAAAACUCAGGGCUCAACCCUGAGCCUGCAUUUGAAACUGUGUUUCUUGAGUGCUGGAGCGGCAAUCGGAAUUCCGGGUGUAGCGGUGAAAUGCGUAGAUAUACGGAGGAACACCAGUGGCGAAGGCGGAUUGCUGGACAGUAACUGACGCUGAGGCGCGAAAGCGUGGGGAGCAAACAGGAUUAGAUACCCUUGUAGUC